GGAAGGAGAAGCGAAGAUAAGGAUACCUGGUGGUGGAAUGAUGAUGUCCAGAAGGCGAUUAAAGAGAAGAAAGAUUGCUUCAGACGCCUAUACCUGGAUAGGAGUGCAGACAACAUAGAGAAGUACAAGAUGGCGAAGAAGGCUGCAAAGCGAGCUGUUGGUGAAGCAAGGGGUCGGGCAUAUGAGGACCUCUACCAACGGUUAGGCAUGAAGGAAGGCGAAAGGGACAUCUAUAAGAUGGCCAAGAUCCGAGAGAGGAAGACGAGGGACAUUGGCCAAGUCAAAUGCAUCAAGGACGGAGCAGGCCAACUCUUGGUGAAGGACGAGGAGAUUAAGCAUAGAUGGCGGGAGUACUUCGACAAGCUGUUCAAUGGGGAGAAUGAGAGUUCUACCAUUGAA
rnacentral:rRNA from 1 species